UGGGAGUUCUCUUCUUUUUCAAGCAGUUC
rnacentral:piRNA from 1 species